CACAACGUUUUUUGACUCUUCGCCUCCCCCGUUUCGAUCCCCCUUCCUCUCCGCCUUAGGUGGCAGGAAAAUCCUUUACCUCCGACCAAUCCCACCGAUGCCGAGCCGCGCGCGCGCGCCAACUAGAGCUCCGUCUGUGCACGCCAUUGGCCACCUCCACCUAUGCGAGAUGACAGGCAGCUUCGCGGACCUAUCGCCGAGGGAGGCAGAGGCCUCCGGCCCUCCCAAAGCUGCUUUGUUAGGGGCUCCCUGGUCGUCCCCCGGCCCGCCGCGCCUCCGCUGCCUGCGGGCGAUCUCCCCGGGCCGCGCUGCCGGAGCCUCGCAGGAAGGCAUCUCUGGAGCGCGCGCCGCCCGCGCCCCUCCAGCCGCGCGCUCCGAGCCUGGCUGCGGCGCGGAUACCCGGCGUGCGCCCGUAGUCGCUCACCAGCCCAACUCCGAACGCCCCGCUCCUGCAUCCACCGCCUCGGAUUGGCUGGUCGGAGGCGGAGCGAUUGUCAGGCGGCCCAAUCGGAGCUCGGUUUCCCACGGGCUCCCGCGGCCCGGCCCCCGAGGCCGCAGGCGGAGGCGCCCUGACAGCGCCGAUUGGCAGACCACGAGCGGGUUCGAGCGCGGCCGGCAGAGCAGCGCCGCCGCGGUCGGGCGCGCAGCUCUGCAGCUCCGCGAACGCCUUGGCGCCCGCAGCCCCAGGGGCACGGCUGUCCCGCAUCGUGCCUGGCCCCGUCGCGGAGAUCCCGGACGACCGUCGCGGGUUGAUGGUCGCAUUCCAGAUGUAAACAGCUUCAGAAGCCUGACGGUCAUAUGGUGAGCAGUUUACGCUUUCAUAUACGCCUGUCAUGUGCUUUGAAGGACUUUCUAGGGGCAUCAAGGGUAGAAUCACUGUGGAUUGAGACCCACCUUUCUAGACCUGAAGCCCAGGAGGAGGAAGAGGAGGCUGGUUGGUACCAUGGGCAUAAUGCUCUGAAUCCUAGUCUCUCACCUAGUAUGUGAGCAGUCCCUGCAGAUG